CUCUGUGCGUCGUUGUAUUAUACGUAUAUUUCUCGAGGUAUGAUUUCGACAAAUAUCAAGUGCCAAACACAAUUAACAAAGAAUUAAAGAUUGUCAGUCAGUGGAAGUAAUUAAUUCUCGCAAUAAUCGCGUCUCUGAAUUAAUCGCACUAUCUGAAUAAAGUUGUUGAUGCCAUUUUCCAAUUUCUUUCUCAUUAACAAAACAUCGCGGACACACUAAACGAUUUGCUUCAUUAUGGUAAUACGUAUAAUUAAUAAAUACAGCCCUUAUUAAUUCCGUAUUUUAAUGUUUCUUCAGUGUCAGUCGAGUAUUCGACUUUGUACAUCAAAAUAAUCACGUAAAACAUGAAUUUUAUCAAAUUUAAUCACGCAAGCUAAUAAAAUAAUAUAUUUUUAUUAUUAAAUAUUUAUUUUGAUUUUAUAUAUAAUUCAUAUAUCUAUUUUUAUCUUAAAAUACAUACGUAUACUAUUUGUUAAAAAUAGAGAUGGACCGUAUAUGGUCCGUUAUAGAUAGAAAGAGCAAUUUUUAAUGCCGAAUCAUAACUUUGUGUAAGGUCAUAAUUUCGAUAUUCGCAUACUUUCGUCGCUAUAUAAAAUAAAGUGCGUCGCGUGUAAGAUGAACGUUGAGAAUAUUGUGUAAGAUACCGCGAUCGUUGUACUUUGGUGAUUAGUGCGCGUGAUCAUAAUUAAUUGUGUUCACAUAAGUGAGUUGUGUGAGUGCCAUAAAGGAGCAACAAAGGAGAGGACAAACAAAAGAGAAGAAAUGGUCCAGAAAGACAUUAGAAGACAGCAAUCAUUAGAUCAAUAAACGACCAAUAUCAUUUCAAUAUUUGACAAUAGUUUAAUACUGCGAUCAGUAAAUGAACAGAAGAAUAGUAAGAACUUGGAUGCGGCCCUGAGAGUAGCAACCGGCCUGCGUCGAGGACACCAGGAACAUUUCGCGAGCGAGGCCGCCGAGAGGAGAGAGGCAGAUGAUAGGAGUAAAAAGCCCAUUUGCGGCGAAAAAUCAUUUGCCGCUUGUCCAUAUUGUGUUUGUUCGUGCGGGUUUAUAGAGCUGUUGAUACGAGUGGUUUAACAUAUCGCUCGGCAUAUCCUAGUAAGUAAAAUGACAUGUUUCGUGGAUGGAUGAUCAAAGAUUCGAUUUAAAAAAAUAGUCUCUGUAUCGCAUUUCCAGAAAGAAUAUUCGUUCAUUGAGGAAAUUUACGAUUGACAAGAGCGGUAAGAACUUCAACGAUUAUUAUGGAAAUGUGCAUAUAUAAUGCGGUAGAAAAAAAAAGCAGUAGUUUGCAAAAUUAUAUAUCUUAAAUUUUCAUCCUUUAUUUCAAUGAUAGAGCGCAUCGAUUUAUCGUAACAACAUUAUCGAUAUGAAACUGUUUUUGACAUUUCUUAUUUUAUCGCUGCGAUUUUGAAGCGUAAAUGUAAUACUUAAAAAUUUAAUGCGUCGUGACAGGACACGAAAGAUGAUGUAUAGGGUGAUCGAAUUGAAAACACAAAUUACUGAUAUGCAAUAUAUGUAUCUAUAUAUCGCGCGAUAUAUAUAUAAUGACGUAAAGUAUUUCUUAAAGUACCGCAACACAUAUGUACAGUACAGAGUUCACGAUAAAUUUCCAUUAACUCUUUAUCGGCCAUUUAUAUAUACAUUGCCCGUACAUUCGUCUUGACAGAGAGAGAGGAGAUGCAUUUCGGUAUCAAAAACAAUAAGAGACGGAAAAAAAAUAAAAAGUAAACUUAAAAAUUACACCACUUCACUUAUUUGUCUCUUCGUUUCACUACAAGAAUAAUCUAUAUGUAUAGAGGAGUUGCUUGCUGGAACAUGAUGUUAAAUAUUCAAAAAAAGAUGCAACGCACGAUAUACUGUCCCAUAUCAUGAUAAACUGUUCCUGUAUGCAAGUGCAAAUUUAACAAUGAAAAAAGAUAUAAUUAUCAUUUCUUCGUCAAUGAGUAAACAUUAAUCUAAAUCAAUUAUUAAAUCGACGAAUAAUCAUUUAUCUCGAUAUAUUAUUAUAGAUAUAGUAAAUAUAAAUUGUGAGAAAGAGAGUACAAUUUUUCAAGGAUAAAUAAAGAUAUAAAGAAAGUGACUACACUCACAUUAAAGCUUCAUUUCUUUUGAUCAAUCUAUUACUUGUUAAAAAUCCACGGA